rnacentral:rRNA from 1 species
UACGGAGGGUGCAAGCGUUAUCCGGAUUCACUGGGUUUAAAGGGUGCGUAGGCGGGUUGGUAAGUCCGUGGUGAAAUCCCCAAGCUUAACUUGGGAACUGCCGUGGAUACUAUCAAUCUUGAAUAUCGUGGAGGUAAGCGGAAUAUGUCAUGUAGCGGUGAAAUGCUUAGAUAUGUCAUAGAACACCGAUUGCGAAGGCAGCUCACAAAGCCAUUAUUGACACUGAGGCACGAAAGUGUGGGGAUCAAACAGG